rnacentral:rRNA from 1 species
GACGAACGCUGGCGGCGUGCUUAACACAUGCAAGUCGAACGGAAAGGCCCUGCUUGCAGGGUACUCGAGUGGCGAACGGGUGAGUAACACGUGGGUGAUCUGCCCUGCACUUCGGGAUAAGCCUGGGAAACUGGGUCUAAUACCGGAUAGGAGCCAUUUUUAGUGUGAUGGUUGGAAAGUUUUUUCGGUGUAGGAUGAGUUCGCGGCCUAUCAGCUUGUUGGUGGGGUAAUGGCCUACCAAGGCGGCGACGGGUAGCCGGCCUGAGAGGGUGGACGGCCAACGUGGGGAGGGGAAGAGGCCCAGGACCCCACGGGGGGGAAGGAGGGGGAAAUAUGGCAAAAGGGGGGAAGGCUGGUGGCGGGGCCCCGGGGGGGGGAAUGAGGGCUUGGGGGUUGAAACCUCGUUGGGAGGGGGAAAAAGUUUUUUGGGAGGGAACAAAAAAAAGAAAAACCGGAAAAAAAGGUC